rnacentral:rRNA from 1 species
UACGUAGGGUGCGAGCGUUAAUCGGAAUUACUGGGCGUAAAGCGUGCGCAGGCGGUGAUGUAAGACAGUUGUGAAAUCCCCGGGCUCAACCCGGGAACUGCGUCCGAUACUGGAAGGCUUGAAUCCGGGAGAGGGAUGUGGAAUUCCAGGUGUAGCGGUGAAAUGCGUAGAUAUCUGGAGGAACACCGGUGGCGAAGGCGACAUCCUGGACCGGUAUUGACGCUGAGGCGCGAAAGCCAGGGGAGCAAACGGG